GACGAACGCUGGCGGCGUGCUUAACACAUGCAAGUCGAACGGAAAGGCCCUGCUUUUGUGGGGUGCUCGCGUGGCGCACGGGUGAGUAACCCGUGAGUAUCCUGCCCUUGACUUUGGGAUAACUUCAGGCAACUGGGGCUAAUACCGGAUAGGAGCUCCUGCUGCAUGGUGGGGGUUGGACAGUUUCGGCGGUUGGGGAUGGACUCGCGGCUUAUCAGCUUGUUGGUGGGGUAGUGGCUUACCAAGGCUUUGACGGGUAGCCGGCCUGAGAGGGUGGCCGGCGACAGUGGGACUGAGAUACGGCGCAGACUCCUACGUGAGGCAGCAGUGGGAAAUAUUGCACAAUGGGCGGAAGCCUGAUGCAGCAACGCCGCGUGCGGGAUGACGGCUUUCUUGUUGUAAACCGCUUUCGCCUGUGACGAAGCGUGAGUGACGGUAAUGGGUAAAGAAGCACCGGCUAACUACGUG
rnacentral:rRNA from 1 species